UAGUAAAUGAACUAAACACCAUUAAAAUAACUCUAGAUGAUUAAAUGCAAACAUUAUUGCUCUUGAGUUUGUUGUCAGAUAGUUGGAAGACCUUAGUGAUGUCUCUUAGUAACUCUGCUCUAGACAACAUUUUGUCUCUAUCCUUAAUAAAGGAUAGUCUCUAUAAUGAUGAGGGAGAAUAUGGGAAGAUCGAAUCAACUCUUAUAACCCACUCAACGU
rnacentral:lncRNA from 1 species